rnacentral:lncRNA from 1 species
UAGUAUUUUUUUAUGAAAUUUUUUUUAACAAAGUUUAAUUUAGUAUACAUUAUGGUUGUGGUGUUUGUUUAGAAGCUAACUUCAUUUUACAUCAAAACCCUAGGUUUAAAAGCCAAAAUUUGUUAGUUCAUGCAUAUGGUUGAUUGAUCUAUAUGGUUUUAUGGUUUAAUAUAGUUUACAUGCAUGUAGUGCUCACUGGUAUAU